rnacentral:rRNA from 1 species
AGAAUCAACGCUGGCGGCGUGCCUAACACAUGCAAGUCGCACGAGAAAGUGGAGCAAUCCACGAGUAAAGUGGCGCACGGGUGAGUAACACGUGAAUAAUCUACCUCCGAGUGGGGAAUAACUGAGAGAAGUCUUAGCUAAUACCGCAUAAUACCCACGGGUCAAAGCAGCAAUGCGCUUGGAGAGGAGUUCGCGGCCGAUUAGCUAGUUGGCGGGGUAAUGGCCCACCAAGGCGAUGAUCGGUAUCCGGCCUGAGAGGGCGCACGGACACACUGGAACUGAAACACGGUCCAGACUCCUACGGGAGGCAGCAGUGGGGAAUUUUGCGCAAUGGGGGAAACCCUGACGCAGCAACGCCGCGUGGAGGAUGAAAUCCCUUGGGAUGUAAACUCCUUUCGAUAGGGAAGAUAAUGACGGUACCUAUAGAAGAAGCCCCGGCUAACUUCGCGCCAGCAGCCGC